UUGGAGGGCAAGUCUGGUGCCAGCAGCCGCGGUAAUUCCAGCUCCAAUAGCGUAUAUUAAAGUUGUUGCAGUUAAAAAGCUCGUAGUUGAAUUUCGGGAUCAGUACGCCGGUCGUGCCUCCGGUAUGUACUGGUGUCACUGGUUCCUCCCUUCUGAAGAACCAUCAUGCUAUUAAUUUAGUGUGGUGGGAAAUCAGGACUGUUACUUUGAAAAAAUUAGAGUGUUUAAAGCAGGCUCACGCUUGAAUACAUUAGCAUGGAAUAAUGAAAUAGGACGUUGAUCCUAUUUUGUUGGUUUCUAGGAUUGACGUAAUGAUUAAUAGGGAUAGUUGGGGGCAUUAGUAUUCAAUUGUCAGAGGUGAAAUUCUUGGAUUUAUUGAAGACUAACUACUGCGAAAGCAUUUGCCAAGGAUGUUUUCAUUAAUCAAGAACGAAAGUUAGGGGAUCGAAGACGAUCAGAUACCGUCGUAGUCUUAACCAUAAACUAUGCCGACUAGGGAUCGGAUGAUGUUAAUUUUUUAAUGACUCAUUCGGCGCCUUACGGGAAACCAAAGUGUUUGGGUUC
rnacentral:rRNA from 1 species